UUUUGGUGGCAGAGCCCGGUAAUUGCAAAAGACCUAAGUCCUUUCUCCCAGGAGUUCAAAUCCCCUCCAAAAU
rnacentral:tRNA from 1 species